AGAGAGAGCGAAAUAGGAAAUAGAAACAGCGAGAGGGAGAAGUAGGAAACAAACAGUAGCACUAGCGGUAGUUAUUUUCAACCAUUAAAAUGAUGAUUUGGUUUGACGGGUCCAUACCCGAUGCCAUUAAUUUGGUUAAACAGAAAAAGCUCAUCUUUGUCAUCGUCAUUAUAGGUGAAGAUGAACAGUCACAAAACCUGGUGGCUAGCUGGGAGGAUGACGAUGUCUCAGAGAUGACUCAAAAAUGCUGUGUGGCCAUUAAAGUUGAUGCCAAGAGUGAUACCUGUGUGCAGUUUUCACAGAUUUAUCCAGUGGUGUGCAUUCCCUCAAGUUUCUUUAUUGGGGAAAAUGGCAUUCCUUUGGAGGUCAUUGCUGGAAGUGUGUCUCCCACAGAACUACAGAUUCGAAUCAACAAAGUACAACAAAUGCAUGGACAAAAAAUUGCCCCUGGCAUGGUGUCACAAGACAUAUCUGCAACUGUGAUCAGCCAAACGCAACCAGCCAAUGCUGCGCUCUCAGCUCCAUCAAUGCCCUUCAUAUCACCAGAAGAUGUCAUGAGUUCCGCUGCGGUGGAUGGAAACAAAGUAAUUGGAUCUCGACAGUCACCUAUGACUAUUGCAGCAAGUGGACAUUCAGAUCAUACAGGUUUAUCUUGUAUGAGUGAAGAAAUCCUUGAUUUACAAAAACUUAACAUGGAACCAGAUGAGUGGCAUCAGCAAAAUACAACACUGACAGAAGAGGAUCGAGUUGAUAGAGCAGCCAGUUAUUCCAAAUACUUGGAAGAGAAGGCUCAGCAAGUAAAACUGCAGACAGAGCUGGAAGCAAUGAAGGGUACCUCUGUGAGGCCAAGGAGUAAUGUCACAAGGCUCCAGUUUCGCCUCCCAGAUGGCUCAACCUUCACCAACCAGUUCUCCUCACACAGCAAACUUCAGGAAGCUCAACAUUUUGUUCAACAGGAAAUUAGAAGCCGCUAUGGCAACCUUUCAAUGGCCACCAUGUUCCCGAGGAGGGAAUUCACCAGUGAAGACCUUGAUAAGACUUUAUUGGAGCUUCAACUUUCUCCAAGCUCAUCCAUUGUACUUCUGCCUGUAUGUUUUCCCUCAGCGUCAAACGUUUGCCUCCUCCACCGUCCCCCACAAUGCCUUGUGCUUGUCAUUCCCUCUUCUCUUCGCAUUGUCACCCAACGGCAAAGUCUGGCACACCUGUUUCCACAGUUGUCCCGUCCACUAAGGGUGGUACAUGGGCUGUCCUCAGCACAGUCUUCUACCCAGUUCUCACUAUUUGGCGAUUCCUCCGCUCUUUCAUGUUUCUGACCCGACCCCAAGAAACAUCAAGAAGUUCUCAAACCUGGUCUCAGUCUUACACCAACUCAGCCACAUGUUCUGAUGAACCAAACAGGGAAUCUCUUUCCAGGCCUUUUGAGAAUCGUUCUAAGAACUUCAAGAAUGAUGGUAACAUAUGCCAGCUCAGGUCUCAAGAGGACAGUGAGGAUGAUAACAGUACCUGGAAUGGGAACUCAACACAGCAAAUGUAGCUUUUUUUUCUCCAUCUGCUCCCAUCCGAACAUCGCCACCACUACUACCCCAUCUUAGUUGAAUAAUAAUAAAAACAAUGCAAUCAU